CGGUGUUUAACUGGCGUGAUGUGGGACGUCCUACCGGUGGGCUUAGCCUCGCGAGGGGCGGCCCAACUAAUAUCCCGUCGCGGUGCUCUUUACUGAGUGUCGAGUCGGGCCGGUACGUUUACUUUGAACAAAUUAGAGUGCUUAAAGCAGGCUAUCCUCGCCUGAAUACUGCGUGCAUGGAAUAAUGGAAUAGGACCUCGGUUCUAUUUUGUUGGUUUUCGGAACCCCGAGGUAAUGAUUAAUAGGGACAGAUGGGGGCAUUCGUAUUGCGACGUUAGAGGUGAAAUUCUUGGAUCGUCGCAAGACGGACAGAAGCGAAAGCAUUUGCCAAAAAUGUUUUCAUUAAUCAAGAACGAAAGUUAGAGGUUCGAAGGCGAUCAGAUACCGCCCUAGUUCUAACCAUAAAACGAUGCCAGCUAGCGAUCCGCCGAAGUUUCCUCCGAUGACUCGGCGGGGCAGCUUUCCGGGAAACCAAAGCUUUGGGGUUCCGGGGGAAGUAUGGUUGCAAAGCUGAAACUUAAAUGAAUUGACGAAGGGCACCACCAGGAGUGGAGCCUGCGGCUUAAUUUGACUCAACACGGGAAACCUCACCAGGCCCAGACACCGGAAGGAUUGACAGAUUGAUAGCUCUUUCUUGAUUCGGUGGGUGGUGGUGCAUGGCCGUUCUUAGUUGGUGGAGCGAUUUGUCUGGUUAAUUCCGAUAACGAACGAGACUCUAGCCUGCUAAAUAGGCGUACCUUAUGGUAUCGCGAAGGCCCCCGGCUUCGGCCGGUGGGUUUUUACUACCAACGUACAAACAAAUCUUCUUAGAGGGACAGGCGG
rnacentral:rRNA from 1 species